AGGGAUACUAUGUUAGAUGUUUGUUAAAAUGGACAAAUUAGAAGAUUAUUUUGUUACUUUUAUGUGUAAUAGAUUAAUUUUUUUUUUUAUUUUUUAUAUAUCUGUCUUUAUAUUAAAAAAGACUAUGCAGAAGCUAUACCCAUUUUAUAAAUUUCUUAAUUUUAAUAUGAUUUUGGUCAUUGUUAAUCUUGCAAUUCUUGGGUAUAUGAUGGUGUUGAUGAAAAUAGUUGCUGGAAAAUGUUGAGUGGGUUUGGAUUUUACUUUAUAAUCUGCUGGAAUAUUGUGGGGGUUGGAUUUUAAGAGGCUCGAUAGUGGUUGAUAAGUGAAUUCCAUCAGAUUUGUAUGUUAAUCUAAUGUUCCGUUCUUAUGAGGUCUGAUCAAUUUUCACCUUUGCAUUAAUUUGGUUAAAUUUACUUGAAAGUUGAUUGGAGAUUCUUGGUUUUGAUGAUUUGGUGCAAUAGCUUACCAUUGGAAAUCAAUUGAAGUUUGAGUUUAUCCUAUUUUAUAGAUUGAAUUUGUUGAUAUCUUAAGCUACCUAAUAAGUUGAUUUCUUAAGCCCUUUAUUGGUGCUUUGUUGAAUUUUUGUAAUUUGAGUUGUGAUUAAAUUUUUAUCUUCCCUGUAGCCUCACUGCCUUAGUUGAUUAAUUACCAAUCUGAGCUUUGGUUCAUUCUUCAUUUUUUAAUAUUUUUUUGUUUCAAUAGACUUUCCUCUUUGUAAACUCAAAAUUUAAUUUGAUAUGCAGGGAAUUAUAUCCAAGGGUGGGUGAUUUCUUGAAGGUCUUGUUUCCGGUAGUAUAAAAAAACAAUGCUGAGGACGUUCAAUUGAUUAUCCUGGCCGCUAGAGAGAAGUUGCUGCAUAAAUAUAAGUGGCUUGAACCUUUGGAGUCAGGUUUCAUUUAUGAUAAGCUUUGAGAGUCUAGCAGAAAUAUUUCAGGUAAUAUUAUGGUGCAGUCACACUUCCAGCCUAUUGAUUUGGUCUGUGUUGAUUCUCCCAGGUAUUCGGUAUAACUUCUAUGCGGCUUUUCAUUGUUAGAAUAAUCUUUGGCAUGUUUGUGUGAUUACAACGUAUACUUUGAGGCAUGCUCAUUUAUUUAUAACCAGGAAUUUGGCCUUGUAUAACCUUUUUGAUCUAUUAUCGUGGUGAUUGGCAAUUAUUGUGCAUCAUAAAUGAUUUUUAGGGUGUGUUGAGCGAAAGCUGAUCAUUUCUUGCCUUUUUAGUAAUUGGAUAAAGUUGUACUGUGGGUUAUGCCGUACUUGACCAUGUUUGCUCAACCUUGCACAUCUUGGGAGUCUAAUAUGCUCUUUACAUUUUUUAAUUCACUCUUAAAGAGUUACAAGUUAAUUGUUCAGAGUUCUUCCAUUUAGAGUUAAAUUGAAUCUUGCUUCUGCUUUUUUUUUUUUUUUUUUUCCAGAUAUUAGAAACUAGCUGCGCAAUAUUGAGAAACAUGCUUUUGAUAACGUGAAAAUUAUUUUGGUAGGAAAUAGGAACAAGGUACUGAAGAAUAGGGAUUUUUAUCUUCUGGUCGGAUGUGGAAUGAGGUAAUGAUGUUUAUUGUAAAUUCGUCUCUCUUUUUUCCCUUUCUCUGCCUAUCUUAAUUGCUAAUUUCGGUUCCCAUAUUUUCUCUGCUCCAUACCCAUCUCCUUCUCUCUCUUCCUCCCAUCAAAACUCCCCUAACAAAUUUGCAGUAGUGCUCGACGAAGUCAAGCUACACAUGUCACAAAAUCAAGAAGAUCAUCGAACAAGAGUUCAUCCCUGAUAUCCCUCCAUUUUUCAGAGAGAAAUGUUGCUGCUACUGCUGUUUUCUCUUAUCUCGCUUUCUCUCUCUAGAAUGGGUGUUUUUGAGGGUUUUUCAAAGAAUUUAGCAUUAGCUCAUGGGUUUUAAUUUCAUCGAAUACCUAUUUCACAAUCUUCUUAAGGUAAGGUUAUUUUUUCUUUCAUUGAACACCAAUUUCACAAUCUAGGGUUCAUCAUUAAUCGAUUUGUGUCCGAAAGUCCACUUGAUAUUGUGGUGGUCAUGUGGCGUGUUCCGUGGUGGUAGUGACGGUACAAGAUGAGAGAUCGGUGCGUGCUAUGGUGUUUGUAGCCUUGCGUCGAAAGUCUUCCUGAUAAUGUAGAUGGUCAGGCAGCGGGUCCUGUGGGUGAUAACGGCGGUGCAAGAUGGUUUUGCUGAAGGGGAGGUCAUGAGUUAUGUGGUCCUUAGCUUUAGGGAGGAUUGUUGGGAUUGGCAAUCCAAGUCCCACAUGGAAGAAAUAAGGAAGGGAUGACUUCCUUAUAAGGGGAAGCACACUCCAUUAGUAUGAGGCCUUUUAGGAAGAUGCCCAAAAACAAAUCCGUGCGGGCUAGGCCAAAGCGGACAAUAUCAUAUUAAUGUGGUGCAGAGUGUGUGGGCGGCCCGACGAUGUAGGUGACCCGAGCUCAACAUGGUAAAAUUAAACUACUUAGCUUUACCAAUUUAGCGCUAAUGACUAUCAUCUUAUUGAUUGAUCAACUAAUCAUGGCAAGCUAGACGCCCUCUAGGCGUUCUAAAUGUGAUUUCAGGUUUUGAACCAAUUGCUCGUGCAACCCUCUGUUCUCACAUGAAUGUGGACAAGGAAAUUAAACAAGCAUUUUGAGAAAUUGACACAGUGUGAUAUGCAUCUUAAUUUCCUGAGCCGGUAACCAGAAAUAAGGCUAGAUUCUCCAUACUUCGAUUUGCAGCCUUCUGUUUUUGACGACUCAAAUGAAUCUAAAAGUCAUAGCUUGGAUCAAAUAUAAACUAGCAGAGGAUCUAGAAUCUCAAUCUUUGAAGAUGUUGGAAUACAUUUAUCCCAGUAAUCAUCUCUCUUAGUCAAACAAGUUAUGGAACAUCUGAGACUUUGUCUUGUGAAGCUACUUCUCUAAGCUCAGGUAUCCUUUUUAUCACCAUGUCUACUACGAUUUAGACACCAUUGAUGUUGUUGUGUUUGUCCUAGACCUCUGUAUUUGGAGAUGGUGUUUGAAAUUUGGCAUGGAUUCCUCAACAAUUUUCUUGUUAGAAUUUUUGUUUUCUUUCUUUGUACAUCCUUAUGAUGAAUUUAUUGUAAGAUAUGCCAAUAUAUCAUACCAAAAGAUAUUUUUAUGUAUUUUUUAUUUUUUCCCGGGGGGGGGAUAUGAUUUGGCUUGAACCCAAAAAACCUUGUUGCCACCUUUAAAGCAAUUUGUGGUCAUGCUUCUUGUUUUAUAAAUGUUCACUACCAUAAAAAUCCUAUGCUUUAAUGGGGGUAGGGGUGUGGGGCCGUAGGGGAGUGACUGCCGACACUUAAUAUGUCUAAUACCUUUUAUUUAACAUAGUAAGAUUGUUGGCAAUAUAAUUAAAUAUGAUUUGGCCCAAACUGACCUGAUUCAGUUGAACCACUAGUAGAAA